GAAUUUCAUGGCUGCAGAGCAUGGCCACACUAGUGGCUGGUGCUGUAAGACUGUCCUUGUCAUGCUGACAAUAUCCUCCAGGAUUGGGAACUGGGAACUCCUGACUCACCAGGGACUUUGGGCCAGCUCAUGAUCCCUUCUUUGCCUCUUAUUUCAGAGCUCUUUCCAAAGAACAAAUCCAGAAGCUUCCAAGAUGGGAUCAAAGAUGUAUUGGGAUAUUAAACCAAUCAAAUUAAUAUUUAAUGAGUAACUAGCAUGUGUGCAACUGACAAAUCAAUGAAGGAAAGAACGUUAACCCACUUGGAACAAGAAGAGAAGAAUUCAGCACAGAGUCCUCAGAAUUGGGCUUCCUUCCUGCCUGCCCCCCUUCAGUAGGUGGCUCAAGCGCCUGAGUCUCCACUCAACAGAUAUAGGAAAGAAGCCCAGAGAGGUAACCGCCAGCCCAAAGUCACACAGUGGGUCUGCAAGAUUCUAACUCCUAACUGGCUGUGAUCCUCGAGAAAGGGAAACACAGGAGGCAUCAUGAUGCUGGCAUAUGAUCCCUAAAAAUGCUGACAGCCUGAGGAUAAAGAAAAAAAUGACAGAGCAGAGAUAGAAGAAACCUGGGUUCCUGGGCCAUCCCCCUGGAGUUGGUGUGCUUUAAUGCACUAACGGGUUAAUGGAGUAAUGAGUUAUCACGGGAGUUAUUAUGAAUGGGUUGUCACAGAAGGGAUCUUGAGAAUGGAUCUGCUAUAAAAGCCUGGUUAGCUCUUUUGUGAACCCCUUUGCUAUAUGAUGCCCUGGGUCACCUUGGGACUCUGCCCACUAGCAAGACCCUCACCAGAUGCCACUGCCCAAUCUUCGACUUUCCAGCUGCCAGAACCAUAAACCAAAAUAAACUUCUUUUGUUUAUAAAUUACCCAGUUCCAGGUAUUCAGUUAUAGCAACAGAAAACAGACUAAGACAUCCUGUUAUGUAAGACAAUAAAAGAUAAUAAAUGAGCUAAUUGUUUAACACUUAUAGCUAGAACCAGCCUGACUGACACAUGCUGGCUUUAUUAUUUUUCCACCUCUUUUUUUCUUUGAACUUCAUCUCUCAAGUUAAUGUUCUAUCAUUCUGAAUUUUAAGUAUUUUUACAGGUCACUAAAAAUCUUAUGUUGAAUGAGACUAAAAGGAAAAGAUAUAUACACAAACAGGCAGAUUGAUUAAUAGCAGAAGACCUGGGUUUUCCGUGGAUGUGAAUCAAUGCCCUGAUCCAACUGCUGAAAGAGCUAGUAUGGCCAACAGCUACCCAAAUGAAGCUGUCACUCAUUUAUUAAGUACCCACUGUUUGCCAGGCCUGUUCUGGGCACUGAGGCCACAUCCAUGAACAAAGUAGAUAAAUUAUCUCCUUUAGAGAUAGAUAAUAAACAUAUAACAAUAAACAAUAUAAUUUCAAAUAAUAAAAGAUGCAAAGAAGAUGAGCAGGGUAAAGGGAGAGAGAAAGAUGGAUUAAUAGAGUUAUUUUAGACGGGGUAGUCAAGGAAGUACCUUUUGAGGAAAAGAUUUCUGAACUGAAACAUGAAAGAAAAAAAGGAAAAAACUAUGAGACUCCCUAGAGAAAGAAAAUUCCAUGUGAUAGGAACAGCAAGUGCAAAGGCCCCUCAGUGGGAGGUAAUUUGACACAUUAGAACAGUGUUUUUCAAAUAAUGGUCCAAAGCCCACUGGUGGUUUGCAAAAUUGAUGUAAUGGGUCAAGAUCAGCAUUUUUUAAGGGUGUUAGGUUUUUUCUUUUUUAAAGGUGUUUUCAAUUGACAAAAAUUGUAUACAUUUGUGGUAUACAAUAUGAUGUUUUUGAUGCAUAUAAACAUGUGAAAUUAUUACAUCAAGCAAGUUAACAUAUCCAUCACCUUAUAUGCUUAUUUUUUGUGAUGAGGACAUUCAAGAUCUACUCCCUUAGCAAUUUUCAAGUAUACAAUACAUUAACUAUAGUCACUGUAUUAGUCCAUUUUCACGCUGCUGAUAAAGACAUACCCGAGACUGGUAAGCAAAAGAGGUUGGGUUUAAUUGGACUUACAGUUCCAUAUGGCUGGAGAGGCCUCAGAAUCAUGGCAGGAGGCGAAAGGCACUUCUUAUGUGGAUGCGGCAAGAGAAAAUGAGGAAGGUGCAAAAGCAAAACCCCUGAUAAAACCAUCAGAUCUCAUGAGACUUAUUCACUACCACGAGGACAAUAUGGGGGAACCGCCCCCAUGAUUCAAAUGAUCUCCCACCAGGUCCUUCCCACAACACGUGGGAAUUGUGGGAGUACAAUUCAAGAUAAGAUUUGGGUGGGGACACAGCCAAACUAUAUCAGUCACCAUGCUGUACAACAUAUCUCCAGAACUUAUUUUAUCCUGUCCAACUGAAACUUUGCACUCUUUGACCAAUAUCUCUCCAUCCCCCAACCCCAGCCCCUGGCAACCACCAGUGUACUCUCUGCUUCUAUGAGAUUGACAUUUUUAGCUUUGACAUAUAAGUGAGAUCACACAGUAUUUGUCUUCUGUGCCUGGCUUAUUUAACUUAGCAUAUUUUUCCAGGUUCAGCCAUGUUGUCACAAAUGACAGAAUUUCCUUCUUUUGUAAAACUGAGUUGUGUUGUGUGUGUGUGUGUAUGCACGUGCAUGCACACGCCACAUUUUUAAUCCAUUCACUCAUUGAUGGACAUUUAGGUUAUUUUUAUAUCUUGGCUACUGUGAAUAAUGCUACAGUGAACAUGGAAAUGCAGAUAUCUCUUUGAUAUACUCAUUCCAUUUCCUUUGGGUAGAUACCCAGAAGUGGGAUUGCUGUAGUUCUAUUUUUUAAUUUUUUAGGAACCUCCAUACUGUUUUCCAUAAUGGCUGUACUAAUUUACAUUCCCACCAACAUUGUGCAAGUGUUCCCUUUUCUCUACAUACUCUCCAACACUUAUUAUUGUCUUUUUUGUAAUAGUCAUUAUAACAUGUGUGAGGUGAUAUUUAUUGUGAUUUUGAUUUGCAUUUCCAUGAUGAUUAGCAAUGUUGAUUUUUUUCAUAUUACCUGUUGGCCAUUUGUAUGUCUUCUUUUGAGAAAUAGCUAUUUAAGUCUUUUGCCCAUUUUUAAAUUAGGGUUUUUUUUUUUGCUAUUGAGUUGUAUAAUUUCCUUAUAUAUUUUGUUAGAAUAUAUAUAUCUGGAUACAUGUAUAUCAGAUACAUGAUUUGCGUAUAUAUUCUAUCAUUCCUUAGGUUGUAUCUCCUCUCUACUGAUUGUUUCCUUUGCUGCACAUAAGGAUUUCAGUUUGAUGCAAUCCCGUUUGUCUAUGUUUGCUUUUGUUGCCUGUGCUUUUAGGGUCAAAAAAAAAAAAAAAAUCAUUGCCCAGACCAAUGUCAUAAAGCUUUUUCUCUAUGUUUUCUUCUAGUAGUUUUACCUUUUAGGUCUUAUAUUUAAGUCCUUAAUCCAUUUGAGUUGGUUUUUGUGUAUGAUGUGAGAUAAAAGUCCAAUUCAUUCUUCUGCAUUUGGCUAUCUAGUUUUCCCAACACCGUUCAUUGAAGAAACCGUCCUUUUCCCAUUGUGUGUUCCUGGCACUUUUGUUGAAGAUCAACUGACUAAAUGAAUGAAUUUAUUUCUGGGCUAUUUACUCUGUUCCAUUGGUCUAUAUGUUCAUUUUUAUGCCAAUACUAUGCUGUUUGAAUUACUAUAACUUUGUAAUAUAAUUUGAAACUAGGUAGUGUGAUACCUCCAGUUUUGUUCUUUUUUCUCACAAUUGCUUUAGCUAUUCAGUGUCUUUGUGGUUUUAUAUAAAUUUCAGGUUUUUUUUCUAUUUCUGUGAAAAAUGUCACUGGAUUUUGAUGGGGAUUGCAUUGAAUCUGUAGAUCACUUUGAAUAGUAUGGACAUUUUAACACUAUUAAUUAUGCCAAUCCAUGAACAUGGGAUAUCUUUUCAUUUAUUUGUACCUUCCUUAAUUUCUUUCAUCUAUGUUGUAUAGUUUUCAGUGUACAGAUCUUUCACUUCCUUGGUUAAACUUAUUCCUAAAUAUUGUAUUUAUUUUCAUAGCUAUUAUAAAUGGAAUUGUUUUCUUGAUUUCUUUUUCAUAUAGUUGUUCGGUUCUUUUUUAUAACUUCUAUAUCUUUCUUAAAUUUCUAAUUUUGUUCAUGUAUUGUUUUCCUGAUUUCACUUAGUUGUCUAUGUUCUCUUGAGCUCGCUGAGCUUCAUUAGGACGAUUAUUUUGAACCCUUUGUCAGGGAGCUCAUAACUUUUCAUUUCUUUAUGGUCUCUUAUUUCUUUGAUGGUGUCAUAUUUCUUGGGUUAUUUGUAAUCCUUGUGGUCAUGUAUUGGUUUCUGUGCAUUUGAAAAGCAGGUACCUAUGACAGUCUUUACAGACUGGGUUUGGUAGGGAAAGCCCUUCACUGGACUACUGGUCCAGAGAUUUUAGGUUGGCUGUCUGGUAGUGUCUGCAGGCAGGUUUGCUGCUGGAGCCCUUGAGAAGACUGGCCUGGUACCUGAGUCAGCAAGUGCACGGGCCAAGAGCCUGGAUCCUCAGGAGCUGACCUGGAGCCUGGAUCCACAGAGGACAGUCUGGCUCCAGGAUCCACUAAGGAGGACCUGCAAACUGGAUCUUUGGGGGCUGACCUGACACCAGGAUAGGCCUGGUGUGCAGGUCCAUUGGAAUAGGCUUUAAACCUGAGUCUGCAGGGCCCAGCAGGGUGCUGGAGCAGGCUUAGAGUGGGACUGGCCUAGAAUCUGGGUCCAUGGGGACUGGAACAGCUCUGGACCCUGAGUCCAAAAGAGCAGGCCUGGACCCUGGGUUCACUGGAGCCUAGGGCCUUGGGGACCAGCCUGGAGCCUGUAUCUGGCCUGGAGCUAAAGAAGGCCUGGAGUCUGGAUCCAUGGAUGCUAGCCUGGUACCUGGCCUGCAGGGUCUUGCCUUGAGGAUGUGUCUUCAGGGCCUGUCCUAGAGCUUGGGACCACAGUGGCCAGCCUAACACUUUGGCAGCCCUGGAGGCUGGAUGCACAGGGACCAGUCCAACAUCAUAGUCUACUGCAGUAGGCUUGGACCCUGGGGCUCCUGGAUUAUAGGGCUGCAGGGACUGGCCUAGCAUUGGGUGUGCCUGGUGCUGGGGUCUAUGGAGGAAGGGUCCACAGGUAAGAACAGCAUUUUUAAAAAAUGAAAUAAAAUAGAAUAGGACAAGGUACAUUGUGUCCAGUAAAGAUUAAUAUAUUAUUUUGUGACACUUUUGUUUUGGGUGCAUAUAGGUGUAGUUAACUGGGCAGAAUGUAAAAUGAAUUUCUUACUCUGAAUUGUGGUUUAAAAAAAAAGAAACCCACUGUAAGAGAAGAACAGGGAAAAGCUGGUCUCUGGAAUACAGUAAACUAUGGGGAGAAUCAUGGCAUUGAGAGUUCUGCAGGACAAAAAGAUCCAGACCAAAAGAAGUGGCCAGAGCGGCAGGAGGGAGGGAAAAGGCAGAUGAGCAUAAAAUCGUGGAAGCUAGGGAAGAAAGGGUUUGGCACAGCAGAGGCUCCCAAAAGGGGUAACAUGAGAGUGAGGGAUGAACAUGGAGGUCAUGAAUGAGCUGGAUGAAAAUGAUGACCCGGAGUGACUGAGAACAAAGCUUGGGUGGAGAGCAUUAAAAAGAGGAUGGAAGGUGAAGAAUUGGAGUCAGCAACCAAAGACAGUCUUUUGAGAAGGUUUGGUCUUGCGAAGGAACAAAAUAAAUGGCGUGGGUGCUGGAAGAAGAAUGAUGCCACUUGGGAAGCAGUAACUGACCAUUCCCCACUUGGCUCAGUCCCAAUCAGGCCCCUUCAAGAUCAUUCUUCUUUCAGUUUCAGGCCCCACAUCCUAUAGAGACAAGACAAAUUAGGAAGAAUCAUCAAAACAACUCUUUUACAAACCAUGUCAUCUCCCUAAGGACAUAGGAUAGGUAGGUUUUACAGUGGAGAAAAGAUAAUGUUGGAAGAGUGUGUCACUUUUGCCUUAGAGCCAGAUAGAAGUCUGGGACCACAACACACUGGCCAAAUGACCUUGAGCAAGCCGCACACCAUAUCUGAGACUUGUGCUUCUCGGUAUUAAUAGGACAAUAACAGACAUGUUGCAAGAAGAGAUCGCAUAGAGAAAGGGCUCCUAUAUGUGUGAGGGACACAUAGCUAAGUGUACAAUAACAAUACAUGCCCCUCACCCUGACAAUAUCACCCUGGCAGUAUCAAUGCCUUUGUUGGGGCUAUGGAUAUAAGGGGCAAGUGCAUGGCACACAAGAUACCCCAGAGCCAAGAGGAGGAGUGAACAGGCAACAAAACCCACCUUCCCAUCCCCACAGAAGAUGAAGUCUUCUUAACUAGAUCAGGCGAGUCACUCAAGGUCAGGGCCUUCCCCUGGAUAUACAUGCACACUGACUGUAGGAUCAAGCCCGGCUCCUCAUCCCAGCAUCCAAGCUCUCUCCAGUCUGGCCCACAACCUUGCAAAAUUGCAUCAUGACUAAGAGCAGCUCUGAGUCAUCAGCCAUGAUUUCCCAGGUUUGUCAAAUCCCUGGGCCCCAGAAUCCCUAUCUGCACAAGGUGGGGAUAAUCAUCUCAGGGUGGGGGUGGAGUGAGGAUCAAAUCAGGUAGCUUGGAUAAGACACUGGGCACAGUGCAGGUACAUAGUAAGUGCUUAAUAAAUACAUUUGAGUGUUCUGCCUCUUCAGUCAUUCCUUCCAUUCACGCUUGGCUUCCCCUAAAUUAGCCUUCUCACCCUCACCCAAGCCUGCCAGAGCUCUUGGAAAUGCUGUGCCUAUGUCUCUGCUUGGUCCUCUUUGGUGGGGUUGUCCCUCCUCCCAAUUUCCUGCUCCUUUUUAGUCCUGAUUCUAAUGUCACCUCCUCGGAAAUGUGUUCCCUGACUCCCUAGGUGUUUUAUUGCUCUCAAAACACUUUGCUUAUACCUCCAUUAUAAGGCAUUUUGACAUUGUAUUAUAAGUAAUUCUUUAUACAUACACCGCCUCACCCCUGGGCUAGAUUCUUUGAGGGCAAGAACUGUAUCUUAUUUAUCUCUGUACCCUCAAUGCCUUGCACAAAAGAAGUGUUCAGAAGAUACAUGGUGAAUGCAUCAAUGCAAAAGUACAUGAAUAUGGAUGGACAGACGAACAGAUGGAUGGGCAGUGGGCAAUCUUCCUGUCCACUUCAGCCCAGACUUCAACCCAGCUCUUCCCCAAGUAUCUCAGGCUGGCACAAAACCCAGGCAAUCACUCAAGUGAACAGUAACAUAGCACAGCUCACCUGGACUGGAAAGAAACUGUGGACUCAGAAACCUGAGGUGUAGAAUUUUGAGGAUCUCUUGGGGCCAGAGAAAACCACUUAGGAAGAGCCAGGCUCCUCACAAACCUGCCAGGAGCCUCAAUGGGAGAAAAUGAUUUAAUUAUCGGAGUGUCACCAAACAAAUUGUAAGCCUCAUUUUGGGGUACUUAAUGCUUAUGGUAAUUAACAUUACGAAGAUUUUUCUUUUCUCUUCUGUUUAUAUUUGGUUUAGCCAUUCACAAUACAGCUAAAAUUAUUUCGACUAAUUUUAGGAGCUCUUUCUACAUUGCCCCUGUGUUUCUUCCCCAGCACUGCUACCCAAAUGCAAUCUUUAACUUCAGAGACAGCCAAAUGCAGGACAAAUUGGAAUCAAUGCUGCCUUUGUCUUCGCUAAUAAGUGGCUGCCACGCAGAGGAGUGUGGAACUGCUAAUUGGCUGAUCUCAACAGGGAAGAGACAAUGGUCGCGAGAAUGCUGGGAGAUUAAUUAUAGGGCCGCCUUCUGCGAGGCCUGGCUUCCGCUGCUCCUGGCUCGCGAUGCAACAAGGGUGGGCCUCUCCACCCAUCUUUAGAAACAGCAGCCUCUCCAGCUGGAAUUCUCCUGCACUGGGGAUUCAGACCACACACCCAGCACACACAAAGGUCAAGGAAGAGGAAUGUGGGAGUGGAGGGGGGGAGACUUCAAAUUCACAAAGGAAAGCACCAGAGUGUGUGUGCUGGAGGGUGGGAAUGAGGGAGCACUCACUGGGAUGUGAAGCUCUGUGCACCUGCUCGUGAGGGAGGCACGAUCAUCCCCCAACACAUGACGAAACUGAGGCCUCAAACGGUGAGAAAACUAAAGGAUCAAGCUUGCUCAAGUUAUAUCAGGUUAGCUCCUAAAAGGAGGCAACAGUUCCCUCUUAGAAGCAGCCAAGCUACAAGUAAAGACUCCUCUGAGCCUGGAUUUGAACUCAACUUUGUCUGAUUCCAGAGCCCAUAUUCUUUGCACUCUCAAAAGCUCUCCUUCACCAUUAGUCUGUGGCCUCUGAAACCUGAUUUCCUUGUCUUUGGGGUAAAGGGUUACCUCUGAAAUGUCCUCAUUAAAAUGCAAAUAUAUCUGCAGAGUGGAGGAGCGAAGGCAUCUCUUAGCCCAGAUUUGCUGUUUAAAUGAAGCACCUGACACCAGGGAAAGCAGAUUCUUCAAGGAAUGAGUAACAUCAGUUUUGAUAAGGGGAAGGGGAACUGCCAAGAGACAGCAGGGCCACAUGGAACUCAGUGGUUGUCUUGGGAAUGGGAUGGGGAAGCCCAAAGUGGUGGCAUUUGGAAGGAAAACACCAAAGGGAUUGCUUCAAAGGCAAACUGGGCUGAGUCCAAUAAUCCCAAAUCAAAUUUGGUGUUCUCUUCUCAAAAGCCACAGUCUCUCCCGGAUGCCACAUCUCUGUUGCUCCACCUGGAAGCCUGGGACAGCUCCUCCACUCCCUGCUCUCUGCACCCCAG
rnacentral:lncRNA from 1 species